rnacentral:rRNA from 1 species
AGCGUAUAUUAAAGUUGUUGCAGUUAAAAAGCUCGUAGUUGAAUUUCGGGGUCAGNAGGUCGGUCGUGCCACUGGUAUGAACUGGUUUUACUGAUUCCUCCCUCUUGAAGAACUGUAAUGCCAUUAAUUUGGUGUUGCAGGGAAUCAGGACUGUUACUUUGAAAAAAUUAGAGUGUUUAAAGCAGGCUUUAGCUUGAAUACAUUAGCAUGGAAUAAUGAAAUAGGACGUUUGAUCCUACUUUGUUGGUUUCUAGGAUUGACGUAAUGAUUAAUAGGGAUAGUUGGGGGCAUUAGUAUUCAAUUGUCAGAGGUGAAAUUCUUGGAUUUAUUGAAGACUAACUACUGCGAAAGCAUUUGCCAAGGAUGUUUUCAUUAAUCAAGAACGAAAGUUAGGGGAUCGAAGACGAUCAGAUACCGUCGUAGUCUUAACCAUAAACUAUGCCGACUAGGGAUCGGAUGAUGUUAAUUUUUUAAUGACUCAUUC